AUGUUCUGUGAAACUGAGAGCUGGAGUCUCAUUUCAAGAGUCCAAAUAAGUUACCACUUCCUGCUCCUCCCUUUCUUCCCCCUUUACUCCAUCAAGUUAGAGCAGUUGAGAGGAGUGUUGGUUUUUUUUUUUGUUUUUUUUUUUCUUUUCCUUUUUCCUUCCUGCCACUUCUCAGAGCAGUUGGGCUUCAUAAGACCUUGUGUCCCUUCAGCCCCAACCAUGAUGGCUGACCUCCAGCAUCUUACUUGAGGUAUAGGCUGAACCAACACUUUCCAAGGGUUUAAGGAGUGCAGUACCUGAGCAUUAGGUAGUGCAUCUGAUAAAGACGAAUGAACUUGGUUGAUUUUCAUGCAUGAGACCUGCUGGAGACCAUUGUCAGGAAGGCAGGGACACUACGUAUUUGAGUGCAGAAUGAUUAGGUGAGUUCAAACUUUCUGUAGUUCUUUAUAUGUCUCAAGUGCUUGGUUUGUGCUCCAAGGAGUUGAGUGCAGCAACAGUAAAUGCUUUUUAAAGCAAUGCUUCUGUUCUUGGCAUGUUAAGGAUCAGUGUAGGUGUGCUUUUAGGCACAGUGCUUACUUCUAGAUGGAUUAGGGUGACUGGAACAUAGGGAUGGGAGAGUAGGGAGCCUGAGAGUAAAGCCUGAAACUUCAGGGACACAGAGCCUAUGCUGCAUGCCUGUGAAUUAGAUGCCAGUUUGAGCAGGUUGGGUGGAGAACACAUGCCCAGCAUAAGGACAUGAAAUCCAAGUUCUGCUCAGCACAGCAGGCUAUUGCAUAGCAGUGGAAUCAGGUGGAUGAGGUCUCUGUGGAUAAUCUUGGUUGGACCCCAUAAUAUGAGCUCUAAGGAACUCAGCUGCUUGCCUUGCUGCUUUGGAAUCUCAGUAUAAUCCUGUCCCUCACAACGGCCUCUGGUUUGGAGGGUUCACUGGUUUGCAGAGAUUUGAUGCCAGUAGUAUGCAGAGGCAGUGGAAACUUCAUUGGAGCUGCCUCCAAAAUCUUUUCUUGUAUGCAUGUAUGUUUCCUGGCACUUCUUUUUGUGAUCUUGCUGAAGAGCAGCUCCGAGAUUCCUCCCCCUGCAUCAUUUGCUCCCACACUCAGUGCCUUGCAGGAGUGUUAGGGUGACAAGUCUUGGUCAUCCUUCUCUCCUACGUCAAGACCAGGACCUGGAUUUAAC
rnacentral:lncRNA from 1 species